rnacentral:rRNA from 1 species
GAUUAACGCUGGCGGCGUGCAUAACACAUGCAAGUCGAACGAUGAAACUUAGUCGACUUCUUCGGAAAGACACUAAGCGGAUUAGUGGCGAACGGGUGAGUAACGCGUGAGUAACCUGCCUUACACAAGGGGAUAGCCUUUGGAAACGAAGAAUAAUACCCUAUAAAACCAUAAAAGCACAUGCUAGAAUGGUCAAAGUGGUAGCGGUGUAAGAUGGACUUGCGUCUGAUUAGCUAGUUGGUGAGAUAAAAGCUCACCAAGGCAACGAUCAGUAGCCGGCUUGAGAGAGUGUACGGCCACAUUGGGACUGAGACACGGCCCAGACUCCUACGGGAGGCAGCAGUGGGGAAUUUUGCACAAUGGGGGAAACCCUGAUGCAGCGACGCCGCGUGAUUUAGAAGGCCUUCGGGUUGUAAAAAUCUUUUGUAUAGGAAGAAAAUGACAGUACUAUACGAAUAAGGUCCGGCUAAGUACGUG